rnacentral:sRNA from 1 species
GAGUAGCUGGGACUGCAGGCGCCCGCCACCAUGCCUGGCUAAUUUUUUGUAUGUUUAGUAGAGACGGGGUUUCACCGUGUUAGCCAGGAUGGUCUCUAUCUCCUGACCUCGUGAUCUGCCUGCCUCGGCCUCCCGAAGUGCCGGAAUUACAAGCGUGAGCCACCAUUCCCGGCCCAAAGAGGAGAAGAAGUAUGAAGUGCUUGCUUGGACCUUUCUACUGUGCUUAUUAUUCUGUCUUCUCCUCAUGGCAAAUGCUUCCUGUCCUUGAACAUCAGACUUCAAGUUCUUCAGUUUUGGGACUUGGACUGGCCCCUUGCUCCUCAGCUUCCCAAUGGCCUACUGUGGGACCUUGUGAUCAUGCUGGAGUGCAAUCUCGGCUCACUGCAGCCUUGACCUCCCGGGCUCGAGCAGUCCUCCCACCUCAGCCUCGCAAAUAGUUGGGACCACAGAUAUGCACCACCACGUCAGCCUAAUUUUUGUAUUUUUAGUAGAGACAGAGUGUCACCAUGUUGCUCAGGCUGGUCUGCUGGGCUCAAGCAAUCCGCACAACUCCACCUCCCAAAGUGCUAGGAUUACAGGCUAAGCCACCGAGCCAUUUUAUACAAUAUUUUAUGCAUCUUUAGUUAAAGAGUUAAAAGUUUCUUUAAGAUCUUUGAAAUUAUUUUAAAAUACUGAUCACUGUUGUUUUUUUCCACCAGUUUCUCAAUUCUUAAAUUCUAUGUUCUUUUAAAUAAAAUUUUGACACGCUGAAAUUUAA